GACGAACGCUGGCGGCGCGCCUAACACAUGCAAGUCGAACGAGCGAGAGGAGGUUUACUUUCUCAAGCGAGUGGCGAACGGGUGAGUAACGCGUGAGGAACCUGCCUCAAAGAGGGGGACAACAGUUGGAAACGACUGCUAAUACCGCAUAAGCCCACGACCCGGCAUCGGGUAGAGGGAAAAGGGGCAAUCCGCUUUGAGAUGGCCUCGCGUCCGAUUAGCUAGUUGGUGAGGUAAUGGCCCACCAAGGCGACGAUCGGUAGCCGGACUGAGAGGUUGAACGGCCACAUUGGGACUGAGACACGGCCCAGACUCCUACGGGAGGCAGCAGUGGGGAAUAUUGCACAAUGGGGGAAACCCUGAUGCAGCGACGCCGCGUGGAGGAAGAAGGUCUUCGGAUUGUAAACUCCUGUUGUUGAGGAAGAUAAUGACGGUACUCAACAAGGAAGUGACGGCUAACUACGUG
rnacentral:rRNA from 1 species